UAGAUAGGACUAGGACGGGACGAGACAAUAUGGAACGGAAUGGAGAGCGAGCAAUGAUGUCUUCGGAUGGAAAUAAGAAGGAAGAAAAAGGAGAUGAAGAAGUUAUAAUUUUGUGUUCCAGUAGAACGAGUCGUUUCAGGAGGUUAGAUGAAACGAAAAUUCAUCCAAAAUUCAUUCGUGAAACAACCGUUUCACCCGUUUUAAGCACAUCAAACGUGAGACGAAACUCCUCGUCCUCCCCUGUUCCGUCCGUCCGACGUAUCAAACGGUACCUCACCUUACCAUCAUCCGUCUGCUUCCAAUUGCUUCCUUCUGAAACCUCACAUUUUCUGCUUUGCUUCCAUUUGUCAGGAUUUCUAUUUGCUUCCAGUUGCUUCCGUUUGCUUUCAUUUGCUUCAUCUCUCCUGAAAUGAAAAAAAAAAACCUGCGUUCAUCCAACCCUAGAAUCCCGAAACCAAAAUUCAUCCAGAUCAUUCCAAUCUCCAACGGAAAAUCGAAAUAUCCAGUCGAUUGAUUCUCUCUUUAAAAUACCCACUCAUCGUUGCCUUAUCUCUGAUGAUUCAAUUGGCUGACGACGACUUCUAGGAUUCUAGCUCGACUUCUCUUUCAAAACUCAGCUCGAGUCCUCGGAUGCCCGAUUUCCGACAAGGCGAUUUCGGCUAAUGACCAGAGAACUAGACCUCGCUACUAUCGGAUUCCUGAGUAAAUUUGGUUUUCGUUUGUUUGGGGAUUUUGUUUCCAGUAUCCGUUUUUCGACUGGUUAUUCAUCUCUGUAAAGCUAGAUUUGUAAACGUUUUUUCUGUUGUUUUGCAAGGAACCAGAGCCUUUCCAUGCUCGAGCUCCACAGGUAUGGCACCGCUCUUUUACAUGGUUUUGCUUUGAUUCCAGUUUUUUUCCAAGUUUUUUUUCCAAGGCUGACGUGCCGAUUCUCUGCGAGGAUUGCAAUGGGAGAGGGUGGCUGCUCUGUGAUUUUUGCAAAGGGCAGAAAAUGAAUGUGAAAUCUGAGACCAAUCGAAUCUACGGCCGAUGCCCAUCUUGCAGAACUGUGAGUUUUGAACUCCUCCUCACAAUAGAAAGCCCAAUAACUUCUUGCUUCAGAGGGAAAACGGAGGAAGAGAGAGAAUAAAAUUCUGUAUUUAUCAGGGACUUUGUACAUAUUCCAUGCAUUUUUGCAACUGGAAUCAUUUGGAAGAGCUUGCUGAAAAAUGGCUCCGUCUUUGUUUUCAGAAUUGAGUGAAUGUUUCUUCAUUGCCGAUGCCCCAUUCUUCAUUGUUGGCAAAAUUAUAAUUUGGCAUAUACUUUAACAGUUUAACUUAUUUAUGAACUUCCAAAAUUCAAUACGUAUCAUCGAAUUGCACAUGAUUUACACUUUUAGCUAUAUCUAUUAGUACUGAGUGAAGUACAACUGCCAAUAGAGAACAAUGUGAAAAGUUUGGACAUGGAAAACCAAGAUAUUUUUUGUGUGUAAUAUAUUCUGCACACAUCUUUUUUACUUUAUUGAACAUAAGGAUGUAAAUAGAUUUGGAUCUAAAUGUAAAUAGAUUUUAAUAUA